CACGUAGGCGGACUUUUAAGUCAGAUGUGAAAUCCCAAGGCUCAACCUUGGAACUGCAUUUGAAACUGGGAGUCUAGAGAUCAGGAGAGGUUAGCGGAAUACCGAGUGUAGAGGUGAAAUUCGUAGAUAUUCGGUGGAACACCAGUGGCGAAGGCGGCUAACUGGACUGAUACUGACGCUGAGGUGCGAAAGUGUGGGGAGCAAACA
rnacentral:rRNA from 1 species